rnacentral:rRNA from 1 species
GGAAGGGAUAAACGCUGAAGGCAUCUAAGCGUGAAGCCCCCCUCAAGAUGAGAUAUCCCAUUCUUUAAAGAAGUAAGACCCCUUGAAGACGACGAGGUAGAUAGGGCAGAGGUGGAAGUGCAGCAAUGUAUGUAGCUGACUGCUACUAAUCGGUCGAGGGCUUGACCUG